UUUGUCCAUUUCCGCCUCAUUCCAGCAACAGGGUGACUGUGUCACUAGGCGAGAGUGGCAUCGGGUCUCUUCGGCCCCUCUGUUGUCAUCUGCCAUGAGAAGCUGUGGUCAUACAGGGGCCAUGCUGGAGCUGCAAUAGAAGUAAAGCUGGGCAGAUGCCACCAGCCAGCAAGAGGCUGAACUGGUUGCAAGAUUUAGGGAUUCUACUUUGCCUCUCGCAUGCUGCUUGUUGCUUGCAACGCACUAGAAGUCCAUAUAGAUGACUGCCAGUAGGGAUGAGAGAUCCUCCUGACCACUGUCCCCACUACAGACAAAUGUGACAGUGGGUUUGAGCUCCUCCUGAGCCUUGCAAUUGUGCAGUGCCAGACUAGAUGCUUGCUGGGAGAUCUGAGGGAUGUGAAUCCUGCAGUGGGCAGGUAAGAAAAACUCUGAAUUUGUUGGACAGGUGCCUGGAACAUUAGGCUGUUAUUGGAAACACGAGGCUUUUAUGGUAAGUAAUAGUAAUGCUAUUGGGCGUUUUCCUUAAAUAGUCUGCCAUGCUCCAUAUGCUGACAGCUAAUGCAGAGGGAAAAGGUGCGUGCAAGCUGUUUUAUAAGGAUGCAGGAGCCCUGGUGUCUCAAGCUCUGAAAUGCCCACUGUUACCCCCCUCUGUCCUCCCAGUGAUGUGGGACACGCAUCUUCCAUAGGGGAAAAAAGCAACACACCUGCAAUGCCAGCGGGACUCCCAGUUCAACUUUCCUAAUCCCCAAAGACCCAAAUGCUCAGUGCUUCCAUGGACACCAUGGUCACCAUGGAAAGACAGAGUUCUAGCCUGAGGUCCCCCUCUGUUUCUGCCUGUGUAAGAAAUGACCCUUUUGGCUCCUGCAGCAUGGAAUCCCAUGGUAACAGGUCCCCAGCCAGGGAAAGCCAUUUCUCAUUUAAGAAUCAUCCAGGACAGAACAAGCAGAGCUUUGAGAUAUACAGAAACGUUGUGCAAAUACAAUAUUCAUCCUCUCCUGAAUACCAGAGGAAGAACAAGAGCAUCCCCAGAGCUAGAACCAGCAAGAAGAGCUACAGCAACUAGGCCACCUUUGCUCGAAAUAGCCCAUGGGGCAGGAUUAGCAUCAUUCCUCCUGAGGAGAAUCCCAAAUGUAGAGAGAUCUCCCUGGCAAACUCCGUUGUUUGUUGUGGAUUUUUUUCCUACUAUCCAGCACGUUGUUCUGUUCUUCACCGCCCUCCCUUUGAGAUGCUGCCUCACAUACAGGGCUACAGAUAGCAUCUCAUCACUUCAGCUGCUCUGAAGUUACUCCCAAGCAACGAAGCCAUUUCCACGCGCACAUCGUGCAGCUGUCCGUGGCAGCCGGGCUGUCUGACACAGCCAUCAAUAGCCCUGUGCUUGUAGGAAGCAGGAAAGCACCUUUGAACUCCCUGAAAAUCGGACGGAACUGGAGAGCCAAAAAGGGACAAACCGGUGGAGAGCAGGUCAGCCGUCCUCAAAACCCCUCGCACACCCUGGUGGGUCCCCAAGUGUCACUCAGCCUGAAGGAAGUUGUCCAUCAAAGCCGGGGAGGCUGUGGGAAUACCUGCGGGGCAGGAGGUAGGGACUGCAUCAGCAAAGCAAACUUCUGACCCCACUGCUUUUCUCCCAGCCGGGACCACCAGCCACAAGGAACGUGCUGAUGCAAGCCUGGACACCAUUUCAUGGAAUCAGAGAAUUAUAGAAUCAUUAAGGCUGGAAAAGACCUCUAUGAUCACCAAGCCCAACUGCCAACCCAUCCCCACCAUGCCCACUAACCACGUCCCUCAGCGCCAUAUCUCUGUGUUUCAUGAACACCUCCAGGGACAGUGACUCCACCACCUCCCUGGGCAGUCUGUGCCACUGCCUCACCGUUCUCCCUGAGAAGCUGUUUUCCCCAAUAUCCAACUUGCAGCAGGAUAAAUGUUGGAGGCUGGAAAGCUUCUUUAGGGGAAAACCUGAUCUGCAGCCAAAGUUUGGUCUAGCGGGUGAGUGGUGUGUCAGCAACCAUGGCUGGAGAUGUGCUUCUGAGUGCUGGGGACCAUCACUCUGCUGAAGUCAUGGAGGUAGCUCAGAAGGACUUGGAAGAAACCCCAGCGUCCUCUUGCAGAGCAUCUCCUUGCCUAAAGCAAAAAUAGAUCUGCCACGAAGUCCCAUGCUACAUUAAAUCUCCCUGCAGAAACUUCAGAUCCGCAGCAAGGAUGAGCACCUCAUUUUGUAGGCAGACAGACCACUGAGGCAAGCAGGGAUUUCCCAAAACUAUGGGGCACACAAGAAGAAAUGCACACCAAGUGGAUCAGAGGUUUAUAUGGUGCAGGAAAAAAAUAUCAACCAGUCUGUCCCUAAUUACAUCUACUUCAUGUGCAUGCAGAAGAGGGACGUGGACCCCUGUGCUGCCCACAUUUUUGCAAGGAAAGAGGUUGAGGAUUUGCCAUGGGAGUGUUUGCUGUUGCUCAGGGUUGGCAGCAUCAUCCAGGCUGGGGUCUCAUGGGGUGCUCUGGGGGCCCCUCUCCUUCCACCUCUCCCUGCUCUGUCCUCUCCUCUGCCUUCUCCUGGGAGUGGUUUCUGGGAAGCUGGUGAUAGAGGAAGGAGCCACUAUGGCUGCAGGCAGGGCGUGCUGCUCGCACCCACCCUGCAGCUUCUUCCUGCCUCGCUGAGCUCCACUUUCCUGCGGCUGAGCCCAGGCCCUUCUUGUCCUCUGCUUUGCAGCACCUAAAAAUAACUGCCCUGUGCAGGUCUGGAUAGAGUUCAGCCCCGUGAAAAUGAAAUGCAGGGAAGGCAGGCAGAGCCCCAUGACAGGGUGGUGCCCAAGGAUGCUGGCCCCAUCGACACGCAGGUCGUGGUAUUGCAUGGGACCGUGGGCACGCCCCACAUUAGUGUACCACCUCUACUUUCCUGCAUCCCUCCCUUCUUCUUCAGGAACUACAUAUUGCUAAAUAAAAUGCGGCAUCUGGUGGUGUUAAUGAGCCUUUCUGGCAGAGAUUUCAACAAAUGCUUCAUUCUCCGUCCUAUGGAGUAAGUGGAAUUUCUCCCAUUGCUUCCUCCCCUCAAAAGAACACCCUGGGCUGGGGCAGCGGUGGACCUGAAGCUAACAGUUUUCCCUAGGAGUGAAAUCUGGGUCCUGUUGGAUGAUGGUCUGCACUCUGAUGGAAUGAUGAGAGGCCAGGCUGGAUGGGACCCUGAGCAAUCUGACCUGGUGGUUAGCGACCCUGCCUGGGGUAGGGGGGUUGGAACUAGUCAGUCUUUGAAGUCCCUUCCAAACCAAACCACUCUAUGAUUCUAUGAUUCUUUGAUCUGAGAUCCCAAAGGCAAUCGAGCCCCUGCUUCCACCAGGUUUUGCUGCAGGGAUUUUUGCCAGUUGAGCCAUGGCUUAGCAUAGAAAACAUUCGAGGGCUCUUCCUUGCAGAACCAUCGCCUUUGUUUCCCUUGGCUUUAUCUCACCAUGGAGUCACCCAUCCGCCAGCCUCAAAAAAGGAGGUCUCGAUGGCUUGCACAGCAUCAGUUCUGCCCCUUUCCACAUAGCCUGAGACAGCCAGUGUGCCCACCUGCACAAAGGGCAGUGGCCAGAGGGGCUGUCACAAGCUCUUGCACGUCCCAUAUCCUGCUGCUCUGCCUCCUGCUCUCCCUGCAGCCAUGGCAUCCUGUUUGCAGAGUGUGCAGGCACGCUUGUGCUCCCUCGCUCUGCUUUUCCCCUCCUGGCUGAGGGCAGGAGGCAGUCAGUGUCCUGGGAAAAGCAAAACUUGAAAGUAAAGCUGAGCUUUUCAUUGUCAGGAGGAGUUUUUUUUUUUUUCCUUUUUGAUGCGUUUCCUCUGGGUCGUUUCCUUUUCAUUCAAACAGGAGUUAAAAAUAUGCUUCCGCUGACAUCACUCACUGUCCCUUUUCAGAAGAGCUCUGCGUUGGUCUCCCAAACACCCCAGGGCUUUGCAUUCCUCC
ensembl:lncRNA